rnacentral:RNase_P_RNA from 1 species
UGAGUAAACCGGAUGGUCGCGGGCGAUAAGCGCGCCGGGCGCGCUUAUCGCCUGAGGAAAGUCCGAGCUCCACAGGGCAGGGUGCUGGAUAACGUCCAGUGGGGGCGACCCCAAGGAUAGUGCCACAGAAACAGACCGCCCCGCACUCAACUUGAAAGCCGCAACGGUUCCCCCUGGAACCAACCUGAUUUCAGGGUGAUUUUUCGCGAAUCGGCAACCGUCAGGUUGAGUGCUGGGCAAGGGUGGAAAGGCGAGGUAAGAGCUCACCAGCGGUUAGGCGACUAACCGGCUCGGUAAACCCCACCUGGAGCAAGACCGAAUAGGGGGACAAUAGGGGUGGCCCGCCCCGUCCCCGGGUAAGGUCGCUGGAGGCGCCAGGCAACUGGCGUCCCAGAUAGAUGACCAUCCACGACAGAACUCGGCUUACAGGUUUGCUCAAAAG